rnacentral:rRNA from 1 species
AUUGAACGCUGGCGGCAUGCUUUACACAUGCAAGUCGAACGGUAACAGGCCGCAAGGUGCUGACGAGUGGCGCACGGGUGAGUAAUGCAUCGGAACGUGCCCAGUCGUGGGGGAUAACUACUCGAAAGAGUAGCUAAUACCGCAUACGAUCUAUGGAUGAAAGCGGGGGACCGUAAGGCCUCGCGCGAUUGGAGCGGCCGAUGUCAGAUUAGGUAGUUGGUGGGGUAAAGGCUCACCAAGCCAACGAUCUGUAGCUGGUCUGAGAGGACGACCAGCCACACUGGGACUGAGACACGGCCCAGACUCCUACGGGAGGCAGCAGUGGGGAAUUUUGGACAAUGGGCGCAAGCCUGAUCCAGCAAUGCCGCGUGCAGGAAGAAGGCCUUCGGGUUGUAAACUGCUUUUGUACGGAACGAAACGGCUCUGGUUAAUACCCGGGGCUAAUGACGGUACCGGAAGAAUAAGCACCGGCUAACUACGUG